rnacentral:lncRNA from 8 species
AUGACUUACCCCACUCUCACCUACAGUUCCUUAAAUGUUUCAGACGCACUUUUCCUCUCGCUCCUCAUCAGGAACAUACCGGCUGGCAGAUGCUCCAUGUUAUGCUCCAUAGAGAGGAACCGCAAGGCUGCCCUGCUCCAAUCAGAGAACACCAGGCCACUUGCAAGGACAUGUUUUUUACAGAACAUCAUCUCUUAUAGAAGACUUAACUCAAGUCUGAUCCCAACUUGACCACCACUGGUUAUGAAAACCUGCAUCCUCGCAGUAAAUCGGUAAGUUCCUUAACAAAUACUAAAAUAUAUUCAGACCUUUGUUUUCAUCUGUUAUGGCAUUGUGAGUUAGCGUGACUGCUCUUUAGCUAUCAGUUCAUAACCUUUUUGUUUCC